CCCAAUCCAGUUCUCCUGGCCAUGAUUGGAACCUUGCACUCACUCCCAACCGUGAAAUUACCAAUACCUACGUGAUCAUUCAUCUAUUAUUCUGCUACAAAGCGUGACACAAAGCUUCAACUGUAUGAAAAUGCAUUUAGAUCUCUUUUGGCAUGGAUUUGCAAGAAGUGAUCUAAAGGGUGAACAAAUUGAAUAUCAAUC
rnacentral:lncRNA from 1 species